CGCACGCACACCACCCGAAAGCGUCGUCGCAUGCAACGUAUGUGAAGCUCGCCGAGUUCGUGGCUCGCCUCGUCGUUGAACAGAAGGCAGUUGAUUUUGAGCCGUCGUGGAAUACAGACUUGAAAAGUCAAACCUUCCUUGCGUUGCCGUUUGUGCGCUCAGCAGUUCUGGCCAGGAGAGCACCCCAAAGUUGGGCCCCAAACCAAAAGCAAAGGCAGCAGCCAUUAGUCAACAGCAAGCGCCAGAGGUUGUUGUUUCUUCAAUCAACAAAGUCACGGUGUAGUGUGCGGUGUCAAAAAGUGUCAGUGCUCUCUCUCUGUGAAACGUGAAAAGGAAAAAAAAGAUUGUUUCUAGAAAAAAAAACGCGGAUUCAAGAAGUCCCCGUCGCGCGAGAAAAUCGAGGUUCGCGGAACAUAAAACGGCAUUUUUUUCAUUGGAAAACGGCAUAAAAAACGAACAUAGCGCGGGUCGCAGUGUGGUCGUUGGUCCCCGGGUCAAAAGUGUGAUCCGGUUCGGUGAAAUAGACGGCGAAAGCCUCUAGAAGCAGUUUUACGAUUUCGCGCAGGUUCCGGAAACAGCAGCGGAAGCUUCUGUGAAGCAACUUUUUCUUCUCCCGUUAACCCCGGAAACAAAACUAGUUUAAAACACAAAAAUGGCCGAUCAACUUACAGAGGAACAGAUUGCCGAAUUCAAAGAAGCGUUCUCGCUAUUCGACAAGGACGGUGACGGCACAA